rnacentral:rRNA from 1 species
UACGUAGGGGGCAAGCGUUGUCCGGAAUCAUUGGGCGUAAAGAGCGUGUAGGCGGCCCGGUAAGUCCGUUGUGAAAGUCGAGGGCUCAACCCUCGAAUGCCGGCGGAUACUGCCGGGCUAGAAUCCGGAAGAGGCGAGUGGAAUUCCUGGUGUAGCGGUGAAAUGCGCAGAUAUCAGGAGGAACACCAAUAGCGAAGGCAGCUCGCUGGGACGGUACUGACGCUAAGGCGCGAAAGCUAGGGGAGCAAACGGG